rnacentral:lncRNA from 1 species
UCUGGACAGGGGGCAUGGCUUCCUCAGCUGUGUUAAAAGCACACAAGCAAACAAGGGAGCAGGCAGACGCUCAGCAGCUCGAGACCUAUCAGUGAGCUUGGUCACCCCUGAGGCUACGACCAAGAGGGGUCCCAAGUCUAAAUCCUUUCCCCUGACUCCUUCUUGCUGUCUUCACUCAUAAUCUCUGUGAUUUCUGGGGAGUUUUCUUUCCCCAUUUUCUGUUCCCUGGCUCCCGUUUUUCCAGUCCUUCUCUCCUAUCUCUUGUGGAACCUGGUUUUUGUUCUCAGUGCGUCCCUGAAGUUCCAGAGCCUUCCAGAAAUUCCUGAUGAAUAUCUCAGCGUGUCCCUGUUGACCUCCUCUGCCUUGCGGGAAUCCCUCUGAAACAGGAAAUAAAGAGCUGUCACAUUAUCACCACGUUGGCGUUCUAAUGGCUGACCUUGGGGUCCCUCUCCCUCACUAGCUUAUUAACUCCUUUUACUCAUCCCUGGAAGAUUAACGUCAUCUGAGAGGCAUCUGAUAAACGGUUGCAGAGUAAUAUGUGACUGACAUGGCUUUGAUAGAAACUACGCUGAGAAGAUGAUCAUUUCCUGUAAUUAAGAAGUUGUGCAGCUCGGGAAAAUGCAGAGAAGGAAAACAAGGAAGUGGGGAGGGGUGAAGAAGAUAUGGAGAUGAAGGAGAUUCCGCGGGUGAACGAAGGUCUCUUGGAAGAAGCCAGGCUGGAUGUGGGGCCUCCUGGCCCAGGGCUCCUGGCUUUGCUCUUCUCUCUGAAAAACCAGGGCCCAGCCUCCGUUCCCGGGGCGAGAGUGCCCUCUAGUGCCCGGGAGGGUGAAGGCCGAGGAGGAGGGCAGGGCCAGAGGCCAAGCCUGAAAGGAGGCCCUGCCAGCCAAUGAGGGGUGAGCCGGCCGCAGCUUGACUUGUGGAGCUGGGAUAGCAAGGGACCCACAGGUAUUUCCACAGGUAUUUCUAAGUGUGUGUGUGUGUGUGUGUAGCUAUGUUUCUUCUUGAGA